rnacentral:lncRNA from 1 species
CCUUGGACCAGCUGUGACUGAACAGCACACAGACUGUUGCUUGUUCCUGGCAGUACCUACAAUGUGCAGGGCAUUAUCCAGGUGGAAGAAGGUUAAGGUUAAAAAGACACAGAAGACAGAGGGAGGGUACUCAAGGCAGCAGGUAUUUAAUAAAUACUGAAAAGCUCUUCGCUCCUACUGCUCUGUGGCAGAAGAUACCCCACUAAGUUUUGUGCAAGGCUUUGACAUGAGGAGGCUGACCCAUGACUGAAUCACUGAGGGGCCAAACCUCCCAAGAUCAACCUCUCCCCAGUUACUCUGUGUGGUGACGUCUUGACAUCAUCCAUGGAGAAGCAGCUUAGAAGAGCCUCUAUGACUGACCAGAGAUCUUCACUGUGUCUGAGUCAUCCUGAUGCCACUCUGCUGUUUAUGACCCAGCCAACUGAUGCCUGGCUCUGUGCCACACAGCUGAUUCAGCAGAUGCCUUCCCAGUACCACCAGUACAGCCACUGUGGUGAACACAUAAUGUUCACAGCAAGUAUUCAGCCAGUGGCAGCCCGAACUGACGCACUCACUGAUAGUAAUAAUAUACAAGAGAAAUAUGUCUGAGCUAAAUUCAUUGCACACAUCCAUUACAUGAGGGAAGCAUCAAUAUUUUUGUAAA